GAUGAACGCUAGCUACAGGCUUAACACAUGCAAGUCGAGGGGAAACGAUAGAGAAAGCUUGCUUUUUCUAGGCGUCGACCGGCGCACGGGUGAGUAACGCGUAUCCAACCUGCCCACCACUUGGGGAUAACCUUGCGAAAGUAAGACUAAUACCCAAUGACGUCCAUAGAAGACAUCUGAAAUGGAUUAAAGAUUUAUCGGUGAUGGAUGGGGAUGCGUCUGAUUAGCUUGUUGGCGGGGUAACGGCCCACCAAGGCGACGAUCAGUAGGGGUUCUGAGAGGAAGGUCCCCCACAGUGGAACUGAGACACGGUCCAAACGCCUACGGGAGGCAGCAGUGAGGAAUAUUGGUCAAUGGGCGAGAGCCUGAACCAGCCAAGUAGCGUGCAGGAUGACGGCCCUAUGGGUUGUAAACUGCUUUUAUAAGGGAAUAAAGUGAGUCUCGUGAGACUUUUUGCAUGUACCUUAUGAUUAAGGACCGGCUAAUUCCGUGCCAGCAGCCGCAGUAA
rnacentral:rRNA from 1 species